CAGAUCAUCAAAAUAUACAAUCAUGUGUGCUUGGCUUGUCCAUAAUUGCUUGAGCCAAGAAAUGGGCCUCAACCACUAAUUAUCCUUAUAUCGAAUGCUUGCACAGAUGCAUUGAGGUCAGAAAGCCUCGAGCUUGUGCAACCCAGCUCUCUUACAAUCUAACACAGGCCUGGAUAGAAGGUGUGUAAUGUCCAAGCUUUCCAUCAGGUGGUUCCCCACUUCUUGAUGCCACGGUCCAAAAAUCAGGCAAGUCCACUCCAUAUGCUUAUUCAAAGUGGAAGUAACUAUAUAGAGUGUAGGCUCGGGGGUCCACAAUGCUUACAUGGAUGCAUGAUCAAAGCUACUCAUCAGUUUUAUCCUUGAAGAAAAAAGGGAAGAAAAAUCUGUCCACAUAUUUAUAAAAAAAAAUUCCAUAGCUGUUCUCCUCCAUCUGCUAGUUACAGGUGGAGCAUUGGUAAUAGAGGGGGGCUUUGCUGCUUCAUAUAGGGAUGGAUAUGGACUUCAUUCGGGUGGUGCUGACAAAGGUCCUCUCUAUGGCAUGAGUUCUCUUGUUCUUGGGGUGCAUUUGAGAAGUCUCACCUUGGGCGUCGCUGAAGUCCGUUGAUUUUUUUUUUUCCUUUUGCUUUUCCUUGUGUCUCAAUCUGUAAAUUUUCUGUCCAUUAUGUAAGCUUUCAUUCUCAGGCCCCCUGUAAUAAGGUUGGUUGUAAAUGAUUUAUAAGUUGUGUUUGAAUGCUAAUUUAAGCUUGUAAAGGUCUUUUGAU